GUUAUCCAGCUUCCUUCCUUUUGGAAAGCCACUUUUAUGAUUAGUAUGGAACAUACUGGAAAGAAAAGACUGGAGCACCACACUGAGCAUUUGGUGUGAAUAGAAUCACAUAAGCUUAAAGUGUUACAGAUGUGGUUCUCCAUCCCCCGAUGUUGCCAAACUAUAAUUCCCAUCAAUAUCUGCUGAUGGGAAAUGUAAUUUUCCAACCUCUGGGGCUUACACUGGACUUAAACAAAAUGACGUAUGAAGCCAGCCAGAGUGGAUGUGCUUCGAAUCCCUUAAGGGGACAGGUGACCGAAUCGCGAGAACGGAAAAUGGGAGUGGCUGCAGCUCAGUCAGUGAUAGAGUAAACUGCCUGGAAAGCAGAGGACCGCCAGUUCGAUACCCGGCUAGGCAACAGCAAAGCAUUUCUGUAUCUCUGCCAAGUAAACUGCAUAGAUGUGCCCAUGGAGGUGCCCAUGUGGUCAACCAGGAGUCGGCCAUGACUUGGUGGUAUCCGACAAGAACCCAAAAAAGCUGAAGGCGUUGGGGGGAGACGCCCUCGAUGUGGGAAUAUGCUUUCGGCAGCUCGGCUCCCUUAGUGGGCCAGAGACAAGGUGGGAAUGAUACCUGUGCGGAGUACGCGAAGAUGUAUUCUGAGCCCGAAAACGAAAUCUCGAGGGAGGGAAUGAGCCAGAGAGACUGGCAAGCCAAAAAUUGCAUUGAAGCUUCGGUCUCUUUCCUCCGCGAGGGAACACGGGUGAGGUAGCGCAAAAUCUUUGCCUUUCUCUUUUUGCUCCGGAGUGGAGAGAGGAAUGAGGAAAUUGGGAAGGCAAGUGAGGGCAGGAGCUACACAUUGCCACACAGCGCAUGCUCAAACAAGCUGUUCAGUCGCCUUCGUACCAUGCGGGGGGGGGAGGGGAGGAAAGAAGAAGCGGACGCAUGUUUUAUUCGCAGGCAGCCCGCAGAAUUUGGCUUGCGUUGUUUGCAAACAGAUGACGGGCUAAAGAUGCUUUUUGAUCUAAAGCUUCUUCUCANGGCUGGAUAUGAUCAGCAGCAUUUUCACCUGCCUUCUGUUCUCUUUUCCAUGGCUACACUACCUGUGGGAGUAAUUGAUUGUAGCUCAAUGGUAGAACAAGUCCAGAAGUUUCCAGGCUCAGGUAAUGACAAUCCACUUCUGUACCUGCCAAGAAAACUGCAUCAG
rnacentral:lncRNA from 1 species